UACGUAGGGUGCGAGCGUUAAUCGGAAUUACUGGGCGUAAAGCGUGCGCAGGCGGCUUGCCAAGUCAGAUGUGAAAGCCCCGGGCUUAACCUGGGAAUGGCGUUUGAAGCUGGCAGGCUAGAGUUUGGCAGAGGGGGGUAGAAUUCCACGUGUAGCAGUGAAAUGCGUAGAGAUGUGGAGGAAUACCGAUGGCGAAGGCAGCCCCCUGGGCCAAUACUGACGCUCAUGCACGAAAGCGUGGGGAGCAAACAGG
rnacentral:rRNA from 1 species